AUAACACAAACAUGUAUAUUUUUAUUUAUGCAAAUUUUACCUAUGUUUAUCCUUGUAUAUACUAGUAUAUCAUGACCUAUAUAAGGAUAUUACACAUAUAGGAGGAAGUAGCUUAAAUCAAUGUAUUGUUAAUUUAAGAACUUACAUAAACAUAUGAUAGAUAUUCUAAAGUGUGGCAGCCAUAUUGAUCUUCAAAGUUCUAAAAAUAAGCAACACGCGAUUAAAUGCUUAGUUAUUCCUCUCGACCAAGAAGACGUAUAUAUGUAAACAUUGUAUGUCAGAAAGAG